GACUCCUGAGAAAGACCACUUUGUAAACCACCCUGCUGUCAAGGAAAGGCCAACAAUUGUCCUUUGUCCAUGGACCCCUCCCAUCAUCCCACUAUGAAGUUGCUGGUCCAAGCUGCUGCAAGAGAAUACAGAAGAGGGCAAGCUUGCUCAGCUUGGGUUCAAAGAAAGUUUCUCAAAGAAGAUGACAAGAAAGAUGAAACUUGAAGAAUGAAACUGAGGGAGAAGGGCGAUCCAGGGUCUGCUGUGUCAGCUGUUUCCUGGCUGCAAGUGACAGAAGCUGAUGGUGACAGAUGAAGCAGAAAAAGGGUUUAUUAAAAGACCAUUGGUUGACUCAGAAUUGUUGAGAAGGCUCGAAGAAACAAUCGUGAGGUUAAGCCUCCAAGAAAAUCACCCCCAAUUAUGUAGCACAUUGGCCUGAUGAGAAAUCUGCGGCCACUGCCCAUUACCACUCAGCGACUAUCCUGCAAGGAGCUCAGUAUGACUGUAACUGCUGCUGUUGAAGGCAUCAAUGUCACUUCUGUGUCAGAAACUAACUCUUACAUUGCCCCUUUCACCAACUUCUCACAAGUGCAUGUGAUCGGAGGAGCACCAAUCACGUCCCUGUGUCCUAGCUGCAAAUGAAGGAGAGGAGGAAAAUCAAACUUCAGUUUCAAAACUGUCUUUCCUGAUGCCUGGUUUUUGGAUGCUACAGAAGGCCCCUGGAGUAUCCAAAAGAGAGGAUGCAAUUGGAGAAACUGGUUGUCUUACCAAGGCUUUGACCGGAAGGAUAUGCUUCCAUUUAAGGAGUCAAGCUCAACUUGCAGAACUGAGAAAAGCCCCUUGGGAAAACUGGUCUCACACCCUUGUCUAUACAGUCCCCAUAUAGGAUUCCCAACCUGUGGUGAGUAAAGAAUGUCACUUUCCAACAGGCCCAGGAACCACAUGCUCCUGGGACCUGAAGGAAAGAGGAGUUUACUCAACUUGCAGAUACUUGAGGAUACAAACCCAUGGCUGGGCUUGGCUUUAAAAGGUCUCAUCUGAGAUUCCUGGUGAAACAGAGUAAUCUAAAAGUCAGAUGUAGAAAUAAUUAUUCUUGCUAUAUUUUAUGCAAAUAAU